UGUAUUCAAUAUUUCGGGGUUGUGACCCCAUUUUCAAGAUAUUCACGAAUGUUGCCGCUGUGUAUUGAAGAGGGG